UGUCGGUAUAGUUUAAUCAAAACAUUAAGCUGUGGAUUUAAAAAUAAGG
rnacentral:tRNA from 1 species